rnacentral:misc_RNA from 1 species
UUUGGUUUGUUACGUGUGGUUGGCUGCGGCGUUUGCAACAACUUCCAUGCUUUCAGACCUCUUCAGUUGUGCGGCAAGGCUUGUAUCGCCUUGAGCGUACUGUGGGUUUUCUGUGUUGGCUACCUAAUCAACGGUAUCGGUUGGAUUGAUCAAAGUUUGAUUUCGUCUUCCGUCGCAUUCGCGGCGUGAGGUGAACCUCGAUGCGGUCUCUUUGAUCCACCUCGUUNNAGCACUUGCUUCGACGUUGUGGCACAUUGAGCAUUGCUUGGUCUCUUGUAUACGGAACAUAUAGUGGGCAUGGAUCUAACGAUCCUCGUUUGCCCUCAUAUUAGCGUAACGCUUCUCUAACACGACUUGCGCCANGUUUUAG